CUCAGUUCGGAUUGUGGUCUGCAACCCGACUACAUGAAGCUGGAAUCGCUAGUAAUCGCGAAUCAGAAUGUCGCGGUGAAUACGUUCCCGGGCCUUGUACACACCGCCCGUCACACCAUGGGAGUCGGAAAUGCCCGAAGUCAGUGACCCAACCUUAGGGAGGGAGCAGCCGAAGGCAGGUCGGAUGACUGGGGUGAAGUCGUAACAAGGUAAC
rnacentral:rRNA from 1 species